rnacentral:misc_RNA from 1 species
AACGCACGAGACCUGCGGACCUGCGGAGGGAUCAUUAAUUAAGAUGAUGCCCUUUUUAGGGAACUCCUCCCGGCAAUGCCGGGUGCACUUGCAUCUUCUUGUGAAUAAACCUAUUGCUUUGGUAGCAUCCCACAGUUGGGUUAUUAGUCUACCGCUAGCUUACAAUAAAAACCUUUAUUAUAUUCUGUGAGAUGUCUGAAAAGAGAAUGUAAAAAUUUUAUAAAACUUUUAGCAAUGGAU